rnacentral:piRNA from 1 species
UCCAUAUGAAGGUGGAAGGAGGGAAGCA